rnacentral:misc_RNA from 1 species
GAUGAAGAACGUAGCGAAAUGCGAUAAGUAAUGUGAAUUGCAGAAUUCAGUGAAUCAUCGAAUCUUUGAACGCACAUUACGCCCGCCAGUAUUCUGGCGGGCAUGCCUGUUCGAGCGUCAUUACAACCCUCAGGCCCCCGGGCCUGGCGUUGGGGAUCGGCGGAGCCCCCCGUGGGCACACGCCGUCCCCCAAAUGCAGUGGCGGUCCCGCCGCAGCUUCCAUCGCGUAGUAGCUAACACCUCGCGACUGGAGAGCGGCGCGGCCACGCCGUAAAACACCCAACUCUUCUGAAGUUGACCUCGAAUCAGGUAGGAAUACCCGCUGAACUUAAGCAUAUCAAUAAGCGGAGGA